CUGGCAUGAUAUUACAAAAUGACUCUCCCUUUUUUUCCUCUUUUUUUUUUUAUAGGGUGACCAAGGCGACCAGGGGCCGCGGAUGGUCUUCCCUAAGAUCAAUCAUGGCUUUCUUUCUGCUGAUCAGCAGCUCAUUAAGCGCCGGCUCAUUAAGGGUGAUCAGGGUCAAGCAGGCCCCCCAGGACCUCCUGGACCUCCAGGCCCCCCUGGCCCUAGGGGACCCCCAGGGGACACAGGGAAGGAUGGUCCCAGAGGAGCCCCAGGUCAACCAGUAAGUGACUUGGUGGUCACAUGUAAAAGUGCAAAAAUAUAUCUA
ensembl:lncRNA